AAAACUUCCCCCAUUUCGCAUGUGCGGGCAACUUACGCACACACAUUUUGCUGAGAAGCAAUCGGGAUAAAAGAGGGAUGGUUUAUACACAAGCGCCCCAAAGCCGAGAAACAUUAUGUUAUCGUGAAUUAAGCGCCAUGCAGAUAUAAACAGCCCUUGCUGCCCGCCCGAUUAAAAG